GUGCCUGCAUUCAAGCUGCAGAUAAAAGCAGAGGUAUCUGUGCAUUACUAUGUGUUAAGUGCCGCCCAGGGACAGAAAACUUCACCUGGCUUUUCUGCUUCCCCUUCCCCAUUGCAGUCAGUAUAGAAACUCCUCCAGUCCCUACACACCCCCUGUAACCUCCCCCUACCAAGAUCUUUUCUCCUUCAAAAUGCUGGAAACAAGCAGCUGGAGUAGCAGGUGGGCAUAGCUUGUAUUAAUGAAGACCUAGACUUGUAAAUGAUUGAAAAACGAGUUUCACCAAAAAGAAACGCCAAUGGAAAUUUACACAACCGCAAUAAUCACAACACACAAUUAAGAGGAAACCAUCUUGGGAGACCAAGGCGCCAACACCGUUUUUCACACGUUCAAUAGGGCAUGUACAGAAGACGGUGGACAAGGAUCCACAUAUACCCGGUCCUGUUUCUCAUCUAUCCAGAAGGAAAUUAAGUUUCAGAAAAGAAGAGAAUUUAAAUGAUACUUCUUACUCUAAACGUAAUGUGGACACAUGCAGGCUGUUGUGUAUUUCCUGGAAAAAUACAACAGAGCUUGCCUGAUGGACUGCAUUCUUCAGAGCGGGGAGCAAUGACCACCAUCCCUGGGAUCACGUGGGAUCAUGUUAAAAACAGAUCAGGCUAAAAAUCAUGUCACAUGUGGUCCGGCGCCACCUCCACUCCCCAGACUUAGGAGCAAAUCUUGCAGAUUCCUUUUAAAUAGGCUUUCCAAGUGGUUGCUAACUGCACUCAAGUUUGAGAAGCGGUGGGCUGCAGGGCCCUCAUUUGAGUAAUGCAGUCCAUAGUGCUGAAGACAGGGAACUUGGUUUUCACCUGCGUAAUUCAUCGACUUUUUUAACCAGCAACAAUUUAUGGUGUUCUUUCUCUGUCUCGCCCUGUUCUGAUCCCUGUCCCUCACCAAGGCAUUGACAUCCUAAUGCAUGUAAAUGCGUGUGUUCCAUGAGAUUAUGCCGGAAAGUUUGGGCUGCCACCCUAAGGUUAUCAAACAUUACAAGGGCAGCUUGCUAGAUGUCAUGCAUAUUCAGCCCAUCUGGAGUGGACUUUAGAAAUCUACAUAAUUAAUACACUUCCCGGUAGGAGAGAGAGGUGAGGAUUCAAGGAAGACUGUGCUCCAAGGGCAGCAGGAUCUGGGGAGAUUUGGAGGCUGUGCUGAGGCAGGAAUUUCAAUAAAGAAAAGCCUGCGUGUAAACAGUCAAAAAGAAACUUUGAAGAAGUAAUCUAUAUUUUUUUAUCAAAAUAAUAGACGGCAGGGUUAAACAAUCAAAAUGUGCAAAAAUGUUUAUCAUAAAACAAAGCCAGUAAUCUUCACCACCCCAAAACUCCUUUUCAGAGACAAUCAUGUAAUCUCUAAUUUUAGUUCUUCAUUUUCAAAUACCAUACUUAUCUUUUAAGUAUUUAGUAUAUUAUCUGUUGUCUUAGCAACUUUAAAAAUAAUUACUCCUAUAAUUAAGUAUUUAACAUGCUUAAUAUUCUUUACCCUCUUCCCAUUCCCCAAUAGAGCCUAUUAUAUCUCUUUAUUAGAUAUCUUUUUCUACAUUAUUAUUAUUAUUAUUAUUAUUAUUAUUAUUUUGCUUUUUAGGGCUGCACCCAUGGCAUAUGGAGGUUCCCAGGCUAGGAGUCAAAUUAGAGCUCCAGCUGCUGGCCUACAUCACAGCCACAGCAACACCAGAUCCAGUGUGAACUACGCCACAACUCACACUAACGCCAGAUCCUUAACCAACUGAGCAAAGCCAGGAAUCGAACCCACAUCCUCUUGGAUCCUGGCUGGGUUUGUAACCCACUGAGCAUGAUGGGAAUGCCCAGAUCUCUUUUUAAUGAAAUAUUUUUACCUUUUUUCCAGUCUGCUGUAUUCACAUCCCUACCCUUAUCCUUUCCUGCCUCUGUCCUUCCCUUUGUCCACCUCCAUACUUCACAUCAUCAAGAAUGAAAACAUUUAUAUUUUACUCUGUAACAUCAGUGAAGUCUUUCUUGUUUUGUUGACAGUUGAUUGCAAAAUUGAAUUAUGACUGAGUAAAUACUAAAGCUUAUUUCAGAAACUAACAGUGUGGUUUCUGAAGUCAACAACAGCCCCUCAAACUUCAGAGCUCACCAUCUCAGCGCCACACUAAAAAGACCUCACAAUGGAACCUCACUCUUCACUCCAUCAAGAGCCCAUUCACACAUAUUUUAAUUUUCCAGAUGGGGAAAGGUGGGAGGAUUUUGAAGAGAUGAAGCAAACCCGUGGAAAAUAUCAGCAGACAUUAGGGGGAAGCAUCGUCUACGUAGUUAGGCCAUUUGUGUUUGCUCAUUGUUGCAUAUGGAAGUUAGGCUCCUAUCUUC
rnacentral:lncRNA from 1 species